rnacentral:snRNA from 1 species
AUUAUCUGACAGAAGACUCUC